rnacentral:lncRNA from 1 species
UGAAGAUGCUGAAUGUAAAAAGCAUUUCAAAAAUGGUGAAGAGUAGUGAAUCGUGAAGUCUUUCAGAUGAUGGUGAAGAUGAGAAUUUAUAGAGAUUAGGCUUGGAGUUGGUUAAGUGAGGUUUGAAGUUAGUUGGGAUGAACUCAGUGAGUUUAGGUAGUUAACUCACUGAGUCGGAAGUUAGUUAAUUGGUUAAUUUGGUGGAAAUGAUGGUUUAUGACUGGCUAAUGCAGGUGGAAAUUUG